rnacentral:rRNA from 1 species
CCUACGGGUGACAGCAGUGAGGAAUAUUGGUCAAUGGGCGAGAGCCUGAACCAGCCAAGUCGCGUGAAGGAUGACGGCCCUACGGGUUGUACACUUCUUUUGUCAGGGAGCAAUUUAGUCCACGUGUGGUCUUAUCGAUAGUCCCUGAAGACAACGCCUCGGCUAACUCCGUGCCAGCAGCCGCGGUAAUACGGAGGAUGCGAGCGUUAUCCGGAUUUAUUGGGUUUAAGGGGUUCGUAGGCGGACUAUCAAGUCAGCGGUAAAAAUUCGGGGCUCAACCCCGUCGUGCCGUUGAAACUGAUGGUCUUGAGUGGGCGAGAAGUAGGCGGAAUGCGUGGUGUAGCGGUGAAAUGCAUAGAUAUCACGCAGAACUCCGAUUGCGAAGGCAGCAUACCGGAGCCCAACUGACGCUGAAGCACGAAAGCGUGGGUAUCGAACAGGAUUAGAUACCCUUGUAGUC